rnacentral:rRNA from 1 species
GAGCGGACAGAUGGGAGCUUGCUCCCUGAUGUUAGCGGCGGACGGGUGAGUAACACGUGGGUAACCUGCCUGUAAGACUGGGAUAACUCCGGGAAACCGGGGCUAAUACCGGAUGGUUGUUUGAACCGCAUGGUUCAAACAUAAAAGGUGGCUUCGGCUACCACUUACAGAUGGACCCGCGGCGCAUUAGCUAGUUGGUGAGGUAAUGGCUCACCAAGGCAACGAUGCGUAGCCGACCUGAGAGGGUGAUCGGCCACACUGGGACUGAGACACGGCCCAGACUCCUACGGGAGGCAGCAGUAGGGAAUCUUCCGCAAUGGACGAAAGUCUGACGGAGCAACGCCGCGUGAGUGAUGAAGGUUUUCGGAUCGUAAAGCUCUGUUGUUAGGGAAGAACAAGUACCGUUCGAAUAGGGCGGUACCUUGACGGUACCUAACCAGAAAGCCACGGCUAACUACGU